CCGAGCGGGGCCCGGGCCGGGGCCUCGGGCAGCGGCCGCAGCCCGCGCCGGCCGCCUCGGGGCCAGGGCCGGUCCCGGCGGGGAAAGCCAGUGCUGUCACAUCGCUGAAAUCACAGGAUGUGUGAACCCCUGCUGGUAUUUCUUUCUAAAUUCAAAAAGUGAUCUAUUUAUUUACCUCUGAAGGGAAUUCUGAUGCGUUACCAAGUGCUGCGGUGUUACCAUCCAGUUUGUCUCAAAUAUUCACGUUUUAUGAGUGCUGUCUUCCAGUUAAAGGUUUCAAGAGUUAUCUGCUUUCCAGAUCUGAAUGGAAUUCUUCUGCAUCAGAAUUGUUGGUAACUUAUUCUUGGAAGAUGAAGAAAGUCAUGUUGCAGUCCCUUUGAGAAGCUUAAGGACUUCAGCAGUUGUAGACACUUUUUCCUAUUUAAAGGCCUGUCACCAGGAGGGACAGCUGUUCCUGCUCAGCCCUUUCAGUAUUAUUGUUUCAUUUCUCUUCAGUUAAUCUAAAUAUCUGGUGAGCUGUACUGUUUGCAAACAGUAAAGAGGUUCCAGUUUGUUAUGAUGGCACACACUGUGGGAAAAGCUGAGUGUAGCUGACUUCAUCUUGUAUUACAUAGGCAACUCAGGACAACAGGUCAUUUCAGAAAGUCAGUCUACAGAUAUCAUUUGACCACUUAUAUUUUUGCAUACCCUUUUUAAAGGAAAUUUUGGUAAUAGCUGGCAGUAGGUCUUUGACUCAGAGCACUGACGUUCAGUAUUGUCAGUGAAGAUUCUCAGACUGUGUAUGAAGAUCUUGUAUACAUGGCUGAAAUGGUAGAACCUUUUUACAAAUAAUUUGGGUUUAGCGCCAGUUGUUUCCUACAAAAGGGAAAAAAUAUAUUGUAAUUGUUUUGGUAAGCUAGUGUGUUUUUACUUUGUCCUCUUUCACUUUUUUAGUGGUUAUCUAAACCACUUUUCAUAGGACUGUUCAGCAGAAAGCAAAGGUCACCUUAAUCGAUACUUAAAGCUGUUGAACUUCUGUAAGAAAUGUAGUUUGGUUCUCCUGCACAAUGUUUACAUUUUCGUGUGUUUGUUGCGGUUUGGGAGGGGUUGUGUUUGUUUUUCUAAAUGCAAAGCAAGAUCUUUGAUUCCAUGUGGUUGGGGAAAUUGUGCUAAACUUAUGCUUUGCUCUUGUCAGGUUGCCUGUCGCUGUGCUGACUUGAAGAGGUGACCAUUUGCAGUGAGUUAAUGAUGUUUAUGUUCUCUCCUGUGGAUCUCUCCUCCUUUUCCUUCUAUCAAGUAACAUCACAAAAGGAAUACACUGUGCAAGAUUUUCUCCUUGCAAUUAAUAAUACCAAGCACUCAUUUUGUUGAGAAAAAUGUUCUUUAAAACAUUCUAGAAUUAAAAAAGAAAAUGAUCUGCUGUGUUACCAUUGUUGUGUACCUAAUCCUGAAAAAGAGAGAACUUUGCCCCAGACACCUUACAGUUUGUUUGGGAUCCAGCCAGUGUAUGUAAUUGGAAAUUGAAUUUCCAAUAGGGAAAGGAAAGUGAAGGAAGAAUAAAGGAAACAUCAGUAAUAUGUUGGACAAAUUAUGUGAAAUUGCUGUAACCCUCUACUGCCCCUCCAUUUAAGAUACUGUGUUAUUGCAGGAGUAAUCUUGGGGGAUCUGAAAGAACCAAAUGUUAGGAACUUCACUUGAGGAAGAUGAUGUAUUUUUACAUGUGGAAAAAAGGUGUAGUAGACAGUAGUGUCAGCUUUUUUUGCUGUAUAUCUUAGGCUUGGACUCUCAGAACAUUUUAUACUGUAGCAUACUGGCACCUUCUGCUAAAUUUUGUCCUCCAUAGCUUAUUCUACCUGGCUUCUUGUGAUUUAAGUGUAAAGUGGAAAGUAACACUGUGUAGGACAAAAAGAAGGUCCCUGAUGUAUUGCAAGAGUUUGUAUUUCUGCUUUCUAUUUUGUUGUUUCUAUAGAAAUAUUUUGUUGUUUCUUAGAAGUCCCUGUGUUAUGGAGCUGUGCUGAUUUUGAAGGUGGGGUUUUUUUUUGGAGGAGAUGUUGAUUUCUGGCUGUUGAUAAACCUUCCAUAACUGAAAGUACAAGGAACUGUUAUGGUAAAGUCUUAAGGUAAGAAACUUUAUAGAAUAUGUGACUUCAGAGCAGGACUUCUGAGUAUGUGUAAGGCAAAAAUAUCAAAAUAGGAGCUCUGUGCAAGAAAUGUAUUCACUGUGCUGAGGAUAGUUUUAUGUAGUUAUAUGCUGGGUACUCUUUAAGGUGUGUUUCAUGGAGAGGCUGCUUGGAAAGAAGCACUAGCUAUGCUUUUACCACUGUGAGCCUCACAGGUGGGAUGCUUCAGUCCAGAAAACAAACAAUGAGACUUUUAAGACUGUUGGGCUUUUUAAAUUUACCAAAGAGUAUAAUCUGGGGAGUCUGACUCAGUGUUAUUUGGGAAUUCUUUGUAUUAUUACAUUCUUGGAAAAUGCUAUGUAGUAGACUACAAAGGGAAAAAAAAAGAAAAAAGGACCUGCUAGCUAGCACAAGCAUAUUCCUAACUAGGAGUUACUUUUUCUGAAUCUGGGCCUAAACCAUCUAAUUUUCAGUUUUAUUCUUUGGACAUAUAAUGAAAACAUAGGAUUAAAAUGACUUUUAAAAUAUUGUUAUAUUAGAGACUACUAGACAGCAGUUGAGAAAUAAAGAUGCAAUUAGUAACGAUACAGUAAUUCAGCCUUCAGAGCUCCUUGCUACUUUACAAAAAACAAUCACCCAAAACUAUGGGUUCCUAGUUUUAUUGUGGACAGGGCAUGCAGAUAAAAUUAUUUAUUACAAUUACUUAGCAGGGCCCUGCAUUCUGUUAAAAUUCAAGCAAACUGCAUCCAAACUGCUUAAUUUUGCCUUGUUUUAUAUUGAUCGAGAGACACGGGGAAAAAUGAGGCCAGUGAAUUAUACAAUAGAUGUGAUAAUUAAAAAAAUCCCACCAAACCUGGAACCAAAGAAACUAUAGGUAUUUUCUGUCCCUUCUCUGAGUAACAACACCAGUGGGUCACUGCCUCUGCUCUGAGGCAGGGAGAGACCGUGGCCAUGCCAGGACAGGGCUGAGCAAGAGGAUUGAGUAGACACAGCUGCAGUGAGGAGAAGGGUGAUAGUAGCUGUUGUCCCAAACAAGAUGUGUGGUGACUUUAUGUUGGGUUCUAGGAGUUUUAUUUUUUUCCCUCCCUUACUCUGGAAAUCCAAGAUGCUUCCUCCUGUUAAAAUAAAUGGAGAUGGACAUGCUGUCCAAAUGGGGAAAAAAAUUCUGUGCCCUUUUGAGGUGUUCUUUAAGAAGGAACAGUUCCUCCCUGUUAGCCCACACUCCAAAUGUUAGAUGUAUAAAUAAAAACUGGCUGUGUACUCCCUCAUCAGUUUUAUUUUGAGAUUUUUGUUUUUUCUUACUUUCAGAACAGUGGAUUUUUUUAGUUAUUUUUCCAUAAUUGUCACCCAUAAAAACCCUGGAGGAAAUUCAGUAAUUCCAAAACUAGAAAAGUAUUAAUAUUUGUUGUUUGACAAAUUUGUUAUGGCUGCUUAUAAAUACUACCAUACCUCAGUUCCUAGGUCUACAGUCUGCUGUGCAACUGGAUAUUUCUUUGAGUUUAUUUCAGACCCCAGAAAUAAUUGGACCUUUAGGAACCUCAGGCUGAACUUGAUGAGUAUCUCAAGACAGUGUAGAAAUAAAUGGAGCCGUUUCAGUAAGAUGCACAGAUAUCUUCUCAAAUUCUUUCCUUUUGAUGGACACAUGUGCUUGUUAAACUACUGACUUGCCUUAGUUUUAAGGCCCUUUGUUUCUCAUAGCGCUUCCCACGAGAUAACAAAUAAGGUUAAUCACAAGCAACUAAGUAUUCAUGGAUGUUUUUACUUAACAGGAGGUCUUUGCCUGCAUUCCUCUGGGGGUAAGAAUUUUUACAAUAAUGACUGCUUUAUUGAUUUUAAUGUAAAAAGAAAUAAAGUUAUAAUUGUUUCUCCAUCUUAGUUGUAAUUCAGUUUUCUUGUUUUUGUUUAGUAUCUGCAUGGCAAUGUAACUUGUGUAUUACCUUCUGUAAUUUGUUAUUCUAUCAAUUAAUGUAUUUUAUUUUGACAGUCUAUCAAAAGCCAUAUGGUAGUAUACAAAUUGAACUCAAUUUAAAGAUCGAAUACUCUUUGUUUUUAGGGUUGGUGGUAGUUUGUUAUAACUGUGUUAUAAUUCUUGGUUUUGAUAGUUUAUUUUUUAUAAAGACCAAAAGGAAGUGUGCAAAACAGAGAAGAAAUCAAAAAGACCUUAAAUAAAUCAGUUAUUUUCAAUAUAAACCAGCUAAAUUCUUAGCCUAUGAGAUGUCCCUAACUACCACGUUUCUUCACCCAUUUGAUGCUGUGACAUUGAAAUGAGAAGUCCCAAAGUACUGGCAAAAUCUAACAGCAGAAGCCUUGUGCAACUUUGGAAGAACUGGGUUUGUCCAGACUGCGAGAGGCAGCAAGAGCUGACAGAUGAGCAUUACAGCAACUUUUCAUGCAUUUGAAAACUUGCAAAAGGGUAGGUGAUUUUUGUGACUGCAGAAGGAAGAGUUUUUACUGGCUUCAAAGACCAGAUGACUUAGUGGCAUUUUAGGAAAAGCUUUCUCACUCGAUAUGUUAGACGUUGGAACAGAUUGCCAAGAGACUCUAAUGGCUGACAAAGGGAAAGUUUUUAAAGUUACCUUAGUGUCUCUCAAGGGUGAACCAUGUGAUAAAGUGCAAGAAGUGAGCUCUGUCCAAUUCUAGUGUUUUUAUUUCAUAAAUGCUGUGAGGUUAAAUGACCUUCCCAUAAGUUAAUUCUGGGAGCUGAUUUUUUUCAAGGUGUUUGUGUGUAUGAACGCUGGAAGUUGACAGUCCUGAUAGUAAAUGGGUUGAUGUAAGCACAGGCUGCUGCCAAAGAGGGACGUGUCUUAGCUGCCCUUUUCAGGCUGGUUUUCAAUUCAGUGGGGUGACAAAUAUGCACAGCUUAGAUGAAGGCAAAUCUACCCCUUUUGCAGCAGCAGCUGCUCAGUGUGACCAUGGAACAGGAGCUUAAGGCUCUGCAGCCAAGGGAUGGUCACUUACUGGGGUGAUUGAUACUACAUGUCCUGACCUAGGGCCUUGUUCAGGAAAGAACAGGCUGAAAAAGCAGCAUAAUGCAUGACAGCUGAAUGCCUUCUAUAGCAAGCUAUGUCCUUUUAUAUUAGCCUUAAGUGGAUGUGUUAGGUAUUUAGUUCUGUCCAGUAGGCUUUAGCAAACAUGCAAAUUAAGCAACUCCAGUUUUCAAGUUUCAAAAAAAAUGAUAGGUGGAGAGAGGUAACUCACUAGUAAUGAAGUCAGAGUACAUGUCCUGCUUCAAGUGGGGCUUUACCUCACCUCCAGCUCUGUAUCAUUUGCAAAAUUAAACAGUGAUGGUGAGAAAAUCAGUAUUGAAUUCAAAAUAAUCACAGUAAGACAUUAUCACAAUGUCCCUUUGCUCUAGUGGUGAAAAAUUCAUACUGUCAGCAAGAAUCAUAUUUUGGAGGGGGAAGAAAGUCCAAAGGAGGUAGAAGAUACAGGAGAAAUCUUCCAUUUGUUCUUGGGUCUAGCAGAGAUGGAGUUCAUUUCCCCCCAGCAGCCCCCAGCGCUGUGCUGUGCGUUGGCAGCUGUAAAGGUGCCCAUAAGACAGCAGUGUUUUGGCUGCUGCUGAGCAGCGCUGGCACGGUGUCAGCGCUGGCACUCCAGCAUCUUCUCACCAGGAGGGUGGGGGUGGGCAUCUUGGGAUGGAACAUAACCAGGACAGCUGACCCACUGACUGAAGGGAUAUUUCAUACCAUGUGAUGCCUGCUCAGAUACAGAAGCUAAGGAAAAGGAGUAGGGAGGGGGGACAUUUGUUUUUUACAGGGUUUAUCCUCCAGAGCAACUACUGUGUGCUGAAGCCCUGCCUCCUGGGAAGUGGCAAGACACCACUCACUGAUGGGAAGUAGACAA